GCAUAUCAAUAAGCGGAGGAAAAGAAACCAACAGGGAUUGCCCUAGUAACGGCGAGUGAAGCGGCAACAGCUCAAAUUUGAAAUCUGGCUCUUUUAGAGUCCGAGUUGUAAUUUGCAGAGGGCGCUUUGGCGUUGGCAGCGGUCUAAGUUCUUUGGAACAGGACGUCACAGAGGGUGAGAAUCCCGUACGUGGUCGCUAGCCUUCGCCGUGUAAAGCCCCUUCGACGAGUCGAGUUGUUUGGGAAUGCAGCUCUAAAUGGGAGGUAAAUUUCUUCUAAAGCUAAAUACUGGCCAGAGACCGAUAGCGCACAAGUAGAGUGAUCGAAAGAUGAAAAGCACUUUGGAAAGAGAGUCAAACAGCACGUGAAAUUGUUGAAAGGGAAGCGCUUGCAGCCAGACUUGCCUGUAGUUGCUUAUCCGGACUUUUGUCCGGUGCACUCUUCUGCGGGCAGGCCAGCAUCAGUUUGGGCGGUUGGAUAAAGGUCUCUGUCAUGUACCUCUCUUCGGGGAGGCCUUAUAGGGGAGACGACAUGCAACCAGCCUGGACUGAGGUCCGCGCAUCUGCUAGGAUGCUGGCGUAAUGGCUGUAAGCGGCCCGUCUUGAAACACGGACCAAGGAGUCUAACAUCUAUGCGAGUGUUUGGGUGUCAAGCCCAGACGCGUAAUGAAAGUGAACGGAGGUGGGAACCCUUUGGGUGCACCAUCGACCGAUCCUGAUGUCUUCGGAUGGAUUUGAGUAAGAGCAUGGCUGUUGGGACCCGAAAGAUGGUGAACUAUGCUUGAAUAGGGUGAAGCCAGAGGAAACUCUGGUGGAGGCUCGCAGCGGUUCUGACGUGCAAAUCGAUCGUCAAAUUUGGGCAUAGGGGCGAAAGACUAAUCGAAC
rnacentral:rRNA from 1 species